GGGAUUGCAUGGACAACCAGGAUGUUGGCUUAGAAGCAGCCACUCCUUCAAAGAGUGCGUAAUAUCUAACGGGUCGAGUGAUCCUGGUCCGAAGCUGUCCGGGGCUAAAACUUACUACCGAAGCUACGGCAUCAGUAAUGAGGGGUAGGGGAGCUUCCCAUACGGGUUGAAGCAUGACCGUAAGGACAUGGGGACAGUAUGGGAGUGAGAAUGUUGGCAUGAGUAGCGAGAUGUGGGUGGGAAUCCCACAGGCCGUAAACCCAAGGUUUCCAGGGGAAGGUUCGUCCGCCCUGGGUUAGUCGGGACCUAAGCUGAGGCCGAAAGGCGUAGGUGAUGGACAACAGGUUGAUAUUCCUGUACUACCGAUAACCGUUUGAGAGAAGGGAUGACACAGUAGGAUAAGCUAAGCACACUGUUGGUUAUGUGUGCCCAAGCAUUGAGGCAGUCAAAGUAGGCAAAUCCGCUUUGAUAAUGCUGGGAUGUGAUGGAGAGGUAAAGUUAGUAGCGAAGGAGCUGAUUAUCACA
rnacentral:rRNA from 1 species